rnacentral:rRNA from 1 species
GAUGAACGCUGGCGGCGUGCUUAACGCAUGCAAGUCGAACGAGAAGUGAAGACGGAAACCUUCGGGCGGAAGGCUUUAUUUCGAGUGGCGGACGGGUGAGUAACGCGUGGGUAACCUGCCUCAUACAGGGGGAUAACAGUUGGAAACGACUGUUAAUACCGCAUAAGACCACAGCACCGCAUGGUGCGGGGGUGAAAACUCCGGUGGUAUGAGAUGGACCCGCGUUCGAUUAGCCAGUUGGCGGGGUAACGGCCCACCAAAGCGACGAUCGAUAGCCGAUCUGAGAGGAUGACCGGCCACAGUGGGACUGAGACACGGCCCAAACUCCUACGGGAGGCAGCAGUGGGGAAUAUUGCACAAUGGGGGAAACCCUGAUGCAGCGACGCCGCGUGAGUGAAGAAGUAUUUCGGUAUGUAAAGCUCUAUCAGCAGGGAAGAAAAUGACGGUACCUGAGUAAGAAGCCCCGGCUAACUACGUG